rnacentral:rRNA from 1 species
CGGGGGGAGCAAGCGUUGUUCGGAUUUACUGGGCGUAAAGGGCGCGUAGGCGGUCAGCACAAGUCAGUUGUGAAAUCUCCGAGCUUAACUCGGAAAGGUCAACUGAUACUGUGCGACUAGAGUGCAGAAGGGGCAACUGGAAUUCUCGGUGUAGCGGUGAAGUGCGUAGAUAUCGAGAGGAACACCUGCGGCGAAGGCGGGUUGCUGGGCUGACACUGACGCUGAGGCGCGAAAGCUAGGGGAGCGAACGGGAUUAGAUACCCCGGUAGUCCUAGCCUUAAACGAUGAAUGCUUGGUGUCUGGGGUUAUAUAGUCCCCGGGUGCCGUCGCUAACGCUUUAAGCAUUCCGCCUGGGGAGUACGGUCGCAAGACUG